rnacentral:snRNA from 1 species
UCUUCUGAGAAGGGUUCG